UAAAACCUCCAGAGUCCAGCCCCAAUUGAACGAGGUUUUGUUCCUUUGUUUUCGUUCGUAUAGGUUAUUUGUCGAAAAACAUUAAAGUAAAGAAGAAGAAGUUCCUCUCUAUCUCCUCUACAAUUCUGCCGUCUGCGAUUAGAUUCAUUUGCUUCAUCGAGGAUGGAGGAAUUUAGCAAAAGGCAGAAGACAGAAGAAAGAAUGAUAGAUCAAAAACUGGAAAAGACUUUCGUCUUGGCCUAUCCUAUCUACUUCCACCAUUCAUGUUUCGGUCGUUUGUUGGCCCAAUUUGAGGAACCCGGUUUGAAGAUUACAGAGAUGAGAUGUAUGAACGUGGGUGAAGGUUUCGCUCUGGAGCACUUUUGUAAUAUUGAUCAGAAACUUGAACAGAAAACGGAUUUCGUAGAUCGACGCUUUAGGGGUUGGAUUGAGUACAUAACUUCUGGUCCUGUUGUUGCUAUGAUUGUGGAGGGAGAUAACUCUGUUGAUAGAGUUGAUGAAUUGAUGACAUUCAGUGAUAAAUAUCCCUUUGGGUCUCCUAUGUCAGCAGAACGACGGUUUAUGCCAGCAAAACAGUUGAGCAGGCGCAACGAGAUAUCAAGUUGUGGUUCCGUCAAGUUAAGUUUGAAAUUCCUAAAAGUACAAAGGAUGUAUUCAUUCUUCCAACGGGGGAAAUAUACGGUCCAGAGGAGGAACUUAAAGAAGUACUACUAAAGAGCUACAACUACAAGUUGAUACAGGACUUUAAACUUAAAGACUAUUUGUUCACUCAUGAAAUGAGUGUCUUCUUUCGAACGGGGUUGUGUUGGUGAAAUUUUACAGGGUAUUGAGUCCAGCGCUUUUGGCUUAAAAGGUUUAACCCUUGUACGGUCUGGUUCUUCGAGCGAAAUGGACGGUGUGAUGGAUAUGCUGUUGCCGUGGUUGCUGUUGUCAAACCACGCUUAACAAUUAAGCCCGGGAUUACCGAGAGAAUUAUUGGCCUUGGUUAUAAUGAGUACGAGUUGACAGCGAAUAUCUUCAGAAAAUCGAGCAGGGUGAAGGUCCUCAAGGAGUAUUAGAAGCUGCGAAAGAGUUUUUCGAAUAUGGUUUCAGUGUUAGGGGAUAUCCUCGAGAUAACUCUAGGUCGUUUGGUUGUAUGUUUGAGGCAUCAUUAGUUGGCCACGAGUAGCUGAAGUAAUUAAGUUUAUAUGUUCUCUUUGAUUAAUUUGUCGGCAGCAAGACGUUUUCUUUUCUGGGAGUGUCAAACACGGUAUUAUGUGAUCAGAAACAAUUCACAUUGACAAGGGCCAGUUGAAUGCAAUAUGAAAGAAACAAUGUGGUCUUUACCAAUCAAAGACUGGACGGAAUUAUCCAAGUGUCUUAGAAAUGCAGUCUAUCAGACAAGAACUCAAAGACUAGCAAAAAGCUUUCCAAUAAAUUAGGAAAAAUACUGAAACAAACAACCAUAAGCUUAACAGUUGAACAGUGAGCUGCCAAGUGCUGGUGAUGCCAAUGAUAGGACUAAACUAACUAGAAGAAGCAAGAAACUUUCACCAACUCCCUUGCUGCGCUCAUCCAACCUGCAAAUGGAUUACCCUUACGUAUACACUGUCUAAAAUCUUUCCAAGAAUAAAAUUUCCUAGUCUCUUCUUCAGGAAGGAAGGUUUUCAGAGAAAGGAUGUUCUCUGCUUGAGCCUGCAGCUGAUAAUCGCCUGGGUAAGGUCCUUUUACCAGGUGCUCGUCAUUCUUUUUAGUUUCAAAAAUAUUACGAAUCCAUUUACCACGGCAUUUUACCAUCUUGAGGUGUUUCUUGAAAAGGAGUAAGGAAGUAUUAAAAGAGAUUUCCUUCUCUUAAAUACCAAGGUGGACCCAGUUGGAAGUUAACUUCGGCUUCUUGUUCAAAAGGAAAACCACACCUUUGCUAUAUUGCUUCGAAGCUUGGAUUCUCUGAGUUGUAGUUUUAAAGCCCACUUCACCGCCUUCUGAAUCGCUAAGGCUUCUGCACAAUCUGUACUUGAUGUGGUACC